rnacentral:rRNA from 1 species
UACGUAGGGUGCAGGCGUUAAUCGGAAUUACUGGGCGUAAAGCGUGCGCAGGCGGUCUGCUAAGAGAGGUGUGAAAUCCCCGGGCUUAACCUGGGAACUGCGCUUCUAACUGGCAGGCUUGAGUGUGGCAGAGGGGGGUGGAAUUCCACGUGUAGCAGUGAAAUGCGUAGAUAUCCGGAGGAACACCGGUGGCGAAGGCGGCUUCCUGGACCGACACUGACGCUGAGGCGCGAAAGCUAGGGGAGCAAACGGG